rnacentral:lncRNA from 1 species
GUGUCCCCCCCCCUUCCAAGUCCCUUAAUUAAUUUGAGGGCAGUAUCACAGCUAUGCCCGUGUAUUUAUAGCGGGAUACUGAGGGCGAGUGCUGCGUGCGUUAGGGCUUGGGGUAAGGGACGCCGGAGGGUGUCAGGCCUGCUGCGAUGUCACUGGGGGACCCCGAAGGACGGCGGGAAGACAAACCUGGUCCUUCCUGGGAAUGGUCCCCAGUGCUGGCUGUAGCCUAACCGCUGCCAGGGGCCGAGCUAACAGCUAAGCAGAACGGAUGAGCAGUGUUUUCCAACUAACCUCUUGGCUUUGUUUUGUUUAGUGGGGCAGAUGUAGCUGUUGUUGUGCGUGUUGGAGUGUUUAAUUUGCUAUAACAUAAUUUUGCUUUUUUGACAGGGCAAUAUGUUGCGGUAUAUCUGAAGUGUGAGAAGUACCAAUCGAGCACAGACUGACACGUUUUAAAAUAUCAGUGUUUGCCAGAGCUUCCUCACCAAAUGCUCAUAAAGUCAGACAGCAGUAGCGGGCCCAGCAUGCCAAGGGAAGGAAGAGCAAGCACACCCUUCAAGAAUCUGCUUUUCUGGAGUGUGAAGCUCACGCCCGUUAAUAUUGCCUGGAGUGCUGGGUGUUGUGGAUUCCCAUCGCUUCUGAAAAUUUUAACACCGUACACCCAUUUCAAACACUCCCAACAGCAUAAAUUAGACUACUCAUCUACUGUGAAACCCACAGUACUUACUAGGUUCAAACCUCAGUCUUGGCCCCAGCUGUGUAAAGCAGACAGCAAGCUGCCCGAAAGGAGCAGCCAAGAUUUCCCUCAAGGAAAUCUUUCUUUUUGCCCUUUCACACAAGGGCAAAUUUCCAUUUCAUAA